CAAUCCAAUCUUUACAGCAAAACAUUUUUAUCAUACUCUACUGAAAUCUUGUAUCUUUGUUUUUAAAAAAGUUAUACCCAAUACACAAAUCAUGUUUGUAAAUUUAUUUUCACGCAUAAUAAUCAAUUUUAAGUUAUAAUAUAAGAAAGUGGAAAGCUUGGUCAACAACAUUUUCUUCUUAAACAGCCAAUUGAGAAAAAAUUUGUACAGAGUUGAUUUUUUAAAAUCAAAUGGAUAAAAUUCAAUUUCCAUACGUUUACGUUACUUUUGCAGUUGUUGUAGCUGUUAUGUAUACAAGAUCUACUUGUUAAAAGAAGCUGACUCGUACAAACAAAAAUAAUAUUGAACGUUAAAAAUAAACAACUAUCAGAUGGGUGAGUAUUGCUUUUGUCAAACUCAAGCUGUUAGCUUCUAUAUUUUGAGUAGAAGAAAUUCAAUUGAAAAAAGAACCUUGCAAAAACCGAUUGAAAUUAUGAAAGAUGUACUUGAAAUAUUUGAAUCUUCAACUUUAUAGGCGAACUAAAAAAGUAAAAGAAAAUGUGCACCAUACAAGAAGCUUAUUUAAUUAUUUAAUUCUUAUUUAAAAAUAUCAUUUAAUUAUAUCUUUUCAAAGAUUUUGUUUUUAUAUUUUUUUAUCUUCUGUUUCGAUGUAACUUCUAAAAGUUACAUUGAUUCAUUUUUUUUUUCUUCACUUCAUUUUUUUUUCUAAAAGAAAUUAUGUUGAAAUUAAAUUUUAGAUAAUAUUUUUUUUGAACUAUUUUCAAAUUAAAUCGUAGGAAUAAAUUUAUCUAUUGACCCUGUUUGUUAUUA